rnacentral:rRNA from 1 species
UGACGAGCGGCGGACGGGUGAGUAAUGUAUGGGGAUCUGCCCGAUAGAGGGGGAUAACUACUGGAAACGGUGGCUAAUACCGCAUAAUGUCUACGGACCAAAGCAGGGGCUCUUCGGACCUUGCACUAUCGGAUGAACCCAUAUGGGAUUAGCUAGUAGGUGGGGUAAAGGCUCACCUAGGCGACGAUCUCUAGCUGGUCUGAGAGGAUGAUCAGCCACACUGGGACUGAGACACGGCCCAGACUCCUACGGGAGGCAGCAGUGGGGAAUAUUGCACAAUGGGCGCAAGCCUGAUGCAGCCAUGCCGCGUGUAUGAAGAAGGCCUUAGGGUUGUAAAGUACUUUCAGCGGGGAGGAAGGUGAUAAAGUUAAUACCCUUAUCAAUUGACGUUACCCGCAAAAAAACACCGGCUAACUCCGUGCCAGCAACCGCGGUAAUACGGAGGGUGCAAGCGUUAAUCGGAAUUACUGGGCGUAAAGCGCACGCAGGCGGUCAAUUAAGUCAGAUGUGAAACCCCGAGCUUAACUUGGGAAUUGCAUCUGAAACUGGUUGGCUAGAGUCUUGUAUACAGGGGGAGAA